rnacentral:rRNA from 1 species
AUUGAACGCUGGCGGCAUGCCUUACACAUGCAAGUCGAACGGCAGCACGGGUGCUUGCCCCUGGUGGCGAGUGGCGAACGGGUGAGUAAUACAUCGGAACAUGUCCUGUAGUGGGGGAUAGCCCGGCGAAAGCCGGAUUAAUACCGCAUACGAUCUACGGAUGAAAGCGGGGGACCUUCGGGCCUCGCGCUAUAGGGUUGGCCGAUGGCUGAUUAGCUAGUUGGUGGGGUAAAGGCCUACCAAGGCGACGAUCAGUAGCUGGUCUGAGAGGACGACCAGCCACACUGGGACUGAGACACGGCCCAGACUCCUACGGGAGGCAGCAGUGGGGAAUUUUGGACAAUGGGCGAAAGCCUGAUCCAGCAAUGCCGCGUGUGUGAAGAAGGCCUUCGGGUUGUAAAGCACUUUUGUCCGGAAAGAAAUCCUUGGCCCUAAUACGGUCGGGGGAUGACGGUACCGGAAGAAUAAGCGCCGGCUAACUACGUG